rnacentral:rRNA from 1 species
GAUGAACGCUGGCGGCGUGCCUAAUACAUGCAAGUCGAGCGAACAGACGAGGAGCUUGCUCCUCUGACGUUAGCGGCGGACGGGUGAGUAACACGUGGAUAACCUACCUAUAAGACUGGGAUAACUUCGGGAAACCGGAGCUAAUACCGGAUAAUAUAUUGAACCGCAUGGUUCAAUAGUGAAAGACGGUUUUGCUGUCACUUAUAGAUGGAUCCGCGCCGCAUUAGCUAGUUGGUAAGGUAACGGCUUACCAAGGCGACGAUGCGUAGCCGACCUGAGAGGGUGAUCGGCCACACUGGAACUGAGACACGGUCCAGACUCCAACGGGAGGCAGCAGUAGGGAAUCUUCCGCAAUGGGCGAAAGCCUGACGGAGCAACGCCGCGUGAGUGAUGAAGGUCUUCGGAUCGUAAAACUCUGUUAUUAGGGAAGAACAAAUGUGUAAGUAACUAUGCACGUCUUGACGGUACCUAAUCAGAAAGCCACGGCUAACUACGUG